rnacentral:rRNA from 1 species
ACGUAGGGGGCGAGCGUUAUUCGGAAUUACUGGGUGUAAAGGGUAUGUAGGCGGCCCUUCAAGUCGCGUGUCAAAGCCCAGUGCUCAACGCUGGAUGUGCACGCGAAACUGACGAUCUUGAGGGCUGGAGAGGAGAGCGGAAUUCCCGGUGUAGUGGUGAAAUAUAUAGAGAUCAGGAGGAACACCGGCGGCGAAGGCGGCUCGCUAGUCAGUAUCUGACGCUAAGAUGCGAAAGCUUGGGGAGCAAACAG